rnacentral:rRNA from 1 species
AAACUCUGCAAUGCCGGCAACGGCGACAGGGGAACACCAAGUGCUUGCACUUUGUGCAAGCUGUUUCCAUGCCUAAAAAGCAUGGAGAGUAAGGGCUGGGUAAGACGGGUGCCAGCCGCCGCGGUAAUACCCGCAGCCCGCGUGGUGCUCGUUAUUAUUGGGCCUAAAGCGUCCGUAACCGGCUUCGUAAAUGCCUGGGGGAAGUCGUACUGCUCAACCGUACGAAGGCCCGGGUAGACUGCGAGGCUCGAGACCGGGAGAGGCCAGAGGUACUCCAGGGGUAGAGGUGAAAUUCUGUAAUCCUUGGGGGACCACCGGUGGCGAAGGCGUCUGGCUAGAACGGAUCUGACGGCGAGGGACGAAGCCCUGGGGCGCAAACGGGAUUAGAUACCCCGGUAGUCCAGGGUGUAAACGCUGCGGACUUGGUGUCGGGGGUCCUACGGGGGCUCUCGGUGCCGGAGCGAAGGUGUUAAGUCCGCCGCCUGGGGAGUACGGCCGCAAGGUUGAAACUUAA